rnacentral:piRNA from 1 species
UGGUUGCAUGGGCUUGACUGUUUAU